CACGUAGGGCGCAAGCGGUGUCCGGAAUUAUUGGGCGUAAAGAGCUCGUAGGCGGUCUGUUACGUCUGCUGUGAAAACCCAGGGCUUAACCCUGGGCUUGCAGUGGAUACGGGCAGACUAGAGGCAGGUAGGGGAGAAUGGAAUUCCCGGUGUAGCGGUGAAAUGCGCAGAUAUCGGGAGGAACACCCGUGGCGAAGGCGGCUCUCUGGAACGCAACUGACGCUGAGACGCGAAAGCGUGGGGAGCAAACAGG
rnacentral:rRNA from 1 species